rnacentral:tRNA from 1 species
GGGGUAUAGCUCAGAUGGUAGAGCGUUUGGUUCGCAUUCAAAAGGUCAGGAGUUCGAUUCCCCUUAUCUCC